CCUACGGGUGGCAGCAGUGAGGAAUAUUGGUCAAUGGACGCAGGUCUGAACCAGCCAUGCCGCGUGCAGGAAGACGGCUCUAUGGAUUGUAAACUUCUUUUGUCCGGGGGUAAAUCGCGAUACGUGUAUCGGGUUGAGAGUAUCUUACGAAAAAGGAUCGGCUAACUCCGUGCCAGCAGCCGCGGUAAUACGGAGGAUUCAAGCGUUAUCCGGAUUUAUUGGGUUUAAAGGGUGUGUAGGCGGUUAGGUAAGUUAGAGGUGAAAUCCCGGGGCUCAACCCCGGCCCUGCCUCUGAUACUGGCGGUCUAGAGUUGAGUAGAGGUAGGCGGAAUGCAUGGUGUAGCGGUGAAAUGCAUAGAGAUCAUACAGAACACCGAUUGCGAAGGCAGCAUACCAAACUACGACUGACGUUGAGGCACGAAAGCGUGGGGAGCAAACAGGAUUAGAUACCCUGGUAGUC
rnacentral:rRNA from 1 species